UACGAGGGGAGCUAGCGUUGUUCGGAAUCACUGGGCGUAAAGCGCACGUAGGCGGAUGUGUCAGUCAGGGGUGAAAUCCCGGAGCUCAACUUCGGAACUGCCCUUGAUACAGCACAUCUGGAGUCCGGAAGAGGUGGGUGGAAUUCCCAGUGUAGAGGUGAAAUUCGUAGAUAUUAGGAAGAACACCGGUGGCGAAGGCGGCCCACUGGUCCGGUACUGACGCUGAGGUGCGAAAGCGUGGGGAGCAAACAGG
rnacentral:rRNA from 1 species